rnacentral:tRNA from 1 species
GCCUUCGUGGUGUAGUGGUCAGCACGCUCGAUGCGUAACUGAGAGGUCCGUGGUUCGAUUCCCGGCGAAGGCG